AUCUUUGAAGGAUAUAGGCACUGUAAGAUUUAACAUUUUCACAUAUAACUUCGACUCAUUUAGAUUUUAAGGGUGAGGCAAUAUUAAGACUUGUAUGCAAAACAAAGUAAUUAGGCUUUUUAAGGUUUAUAGGGCGAAAGAAUUUUUAUAUAAGUGUUAUUACGCAUUGAACGAAAGACGCGCAUUAAACUGUAUCAUUUAUGCAAAGAAAUUUUACUGAGGUUAAUAGGGCGAAAGAAUCUUUAGAUACGUUAUAGUAAAUAAGCUGUGAAGGAUAUAGGCACUGUAACAUUUAAUAUUUUCAUAAAGAACUACAGUUAAUUUAGAUUUUUAGGGCCAAAACAAUGUUUAGACUAGUGUGUAACACAAAGUUAUUCGGCUUUUUAAGGUUUAUUGGGCGAAAGAAUUAUUAGAUAAGUGUUAUUACGCACUAAACGAAAAACGCGCAUUUAAAUGUAUCAUUUAUGCAAAGAAAUUUUACUGAGGUUUAUAGGGAGAGAGGAUUUUUAGAUACUUUAUAGUAAAUAAGCUCUGAAGGAUAUAGGCACUGAAACAUUUAAUAUUUUCACACAGAACUUCUGCUCCUUUAGAAUUUUAGGGCGAAACAAUAUUUAGACUAGUGUGUUGUACAAAGUUAUUCGGCUUUUAAUAGGGCGAAAGAAUUUUUAGAUACGUGACAGUAAAUAAGCUGUGAAGGAUAUAGGCACUGUAAGAUUUAAUAUUUUCACAAAGAAUUUCGGCUCGUUUAGUUUUUAGGGCGAAACAAUAUUUAGAUAGUGUUUCAUAAAAACAAAUUAAGCUUGAUUAGGUUGAAAAGGCGAAAGAAUUUCUAGAUAAAUGACAGUUAAAAUCU